GCGAUGUAGGUGGAAGCAGCGGUGGAGGAGGAGGAUGAGGUAACCAACACUGUUUUUUUAUGUUUUUUGUUAUUUUUAAUUGUGGUAGCCCACAAAAUAUUGGGACAUAUAAAAAAAGACAACUCUGUUCUGCAGAGUAGCUGUUGACAUUAUAGUUGCACAGGCACUUUGUUGACUCUAGAGAACCUUGGGCCAAUCGCACAUUCCCGUGACGGCGAUUUUGCAUUCGGAUGUCAUCCAUAUCAACUUUUGAUGCCAGUUUCUGCGCCUACCAUGGUGACCACAGGUAACUGGGAAUCAGGGUUCCAUUCCGUACAGGGACCCUGAGAAACGGCUACCACAUGCAAGGAAGGCAGCAGGCG